ensembl:lncRNA
AAUCAGACUCAUCCCAAAUCUGCCUCCCUCAGCAAGAAUUCUGGUAUUUCCAUGGCAAUUGAAAUAAAGCGAAACUUCUUUAUUUUGGGUUCAUACUGCUGAAAUACACGAGCCCCCAUGCGGCCAGAGAGCUGCAGUAAAUACACCUCGACCGCGAGAUGAGGUUAUGAACCCAGACAAGAGGUGAUAUGUGAGAGAAAAAACCUAUUAAAAUGAUGACCUAUUUUAAGAUCAAUUGUCAUGCGUAACACGUUAUGUUGUACAAUUUGUUGUUUUAUUUUAAUAUCAUUGGAUGUUACGUUCCCCAGUUUUCUGUGUUUGUUUUGUGCCUUGACAGGUGAUUGAUUCCAGGAGCAGCAGUCCCCAGACUGGAGAUCUGGCCCCACCCACUCGUCAGCGGCUGCACCUGGAUUCCUUCCCUCGCAACACAUAAAGUGGUGCCCUUUGUUAUGAAGCUGGCUCGUUGGGUGUUAGAGCAGAGAGUGACUUGGAGUCUCUGGUAAAUCGUGUUCUGUGUGCUUGUGAAAGCGCUCUUCUCAUUUUUGUGUUUAAUCCUGUUUUUUUUUGUCUUUUGUUCCCAGGGAAAAGGGGAAGCACCUUGGGAGUGCGUAGGCAAGCUGCCCAUGGGUCUACACCACCCGUAGUCAUCCUCCUGUCUAGAAACACUAGGCAAGACCUGGGCGGACCACCCCCUGUAUUUGGUUAGUGAGCCUUGCUAGUGCUCAAGCUAGGUUAGGGGGGGGUGUUUCAGGUCAGAUAGGCAAGAGGGACUAUUUUGUUUUGUUCAUUGUUUUGGUUCCGCCCAGCCCCUUUUCCCAAGCAACCCGUAUACAUAGAUAUCUAUAAAUAAAACAUUCCUUUUUACGGGUUAUAUGUGUUCUGGUCGUCCGUGUACCUACACGCACCACACCUCUUCCCCCCCAUACCACAUUGAGAUAACGAGCGGCGGGUCGUUGCGUUCCCUCCUCCACGAGGUGUGCGUAACAUUGGAUUUCAGACAACUGCUUAUUUGUGAUGUUGGGGCAUAUUUAACACAGAGUUUACAAAUAGGAAGCCUUUUAAAAGACUUAAGUGACAUUCAUGUUCCUUAUUUCCCAGUACUGGGUUGACUGGAACAAAGCAAGAAUGGAAACAGUAGCUUAUGUAUCAUCAUGUAAUUUAUAAUUAAUUAAGUUUAUUAAUUUGGUUUCUUCAUUCAUGAAAUAUACGUAAAUGUAUCUCUGCUAUGAAUGAUGAUUAUUAAAUAUAAGACAUUUAUUUACAAUACAUCUGCCUGAGCUUUACAAUUCAAUUAUUCAGAUAAAACACAGGGUGUUGGGGGAGAGGGCUGUUCAUAAAAAGAACAUUACUUGUAAAGGCAAUACUGUUGUAAUGUGCUUUCCUUUCCUUUUCCAUAUGCUGAUCCCUUCAUAUAGAUUUGCUUCUGUAGAGAGCAUAAUCUCUAAGAUAUUUAGGAUAAUAGUAUAAUAUAUAUAAAUAUUUCAUGAGAACGUGUGCGUGUGCUAUGCAGUAGGAGUACAGUAUACCUGGUGUUUAUGUUUUUUAGUACAUGACAACUCAAGUUGUCAAGAAGUUUAGCGAAUUAUUGUUCAAGUAUGUUGUGUUUGACCACAAACAUGUUGUACGAUAAUGCAUUUUAGUUUUAGAGAAAGACAAGCCACUCUGCCCUUGCAAAAGUGUAUUAUUAUUCAAUAUGCAUUUAUUUUGUAGCAUCAAUGUUAUCUAUAUAUAUGUGUUUGAACAUGCAAAUUGUGUGUAUCCACAGGCUUCAUUCAAAUCUAUUAUUUUUGACAUUUCAAAAGCUGAGAGAGGAAACAUAAAACAGGGUGAUUACAGAGGGAGGACUGUGUGUUUUGUCCCCAUCAGUUCAUCUAGAAGCACUUUAUGAAAGUGUUCUCUUGCUGUCUCGUAUGAUUGGCAAGCCAAAUCCUUUUGCAGACUACAUUAAGAAUUAGAAGACUAAAUUGUAUAAGGGUCAGAAUAUUCCUUUUAAAUUCAAACACGUUCUUGCAUUUGAUCGUCUUCAAUAACUGCACCUUGUGAAUACAAAAGCAACACUUCUGCCGUGGUUGGAGACGGUUCCAGCUGUGUGCUACGCCUCUUUUAAUGUUGCAGCUCUCAGCUCCCUCUUGAAGCCUCCUCCCUCUUUGCUCCUUCUCUCCUCGAGGCACAUACAAGCGAUUGAAAUACCCUCUGUGAUGGCGAAGGGGGGAAUGAUCUCCGUGUCAAACGAGGGGAGAGGACGGUAGGAAGUCUCAGUCAGCACAUCGGGAAAACACCCACAGUUUCACGGACAUUCUGUCUCUUCUUUCCCCCCCCCCAUUCACCACCCGCUGGUAUAAAACUGAAAAGUCUGCUGUGCCAGCAGAGACAAACUAACACAACUGUAAAUGUAGUGCCUCAUUGGAUGCAUGACCCACUGUGUGUGUGCAUGUUUGAUGCACGGCCUGUCCCACACAACGUCCUCGCUGCAUCACUAACUGUUCAUUUCCACUGGGCAAUCGGAAGUCAUGCUAUUGAAUAUGAAAUGAAACCUCCCGCGUAUGUAUUCCCAACGCAUUUUUGUCAUCUUUUCCUCGUGGCAUUGGCAAUGCUUCCUCCAUUUCUUGGUCUACAUGCCACAUAUGUCUGGCAGGGCGGGGGCUUCGUAUACCGCGAAGGUUGCGUCUCCUGGCGAUGCCUUUCAUUGUCCUUCAGCGGCUCCCGUGACACUAAUCCAGAUGCAUCAGUUUUGACCGCAUUCCUCCAUUGCAAAAUGAAUCAAUCCAUCCUGGAAUUUCAUCAGGAAAUCUCUUCUGCUCUUCAACAUCUCUUUCCCCGCCUCCUCCAACGCCAUUUACCCCUUUCCUCUCUCUCCAUAUCCCAAAUUGUGAGACAGGCCAUUUAUCAACAGACUCAUCGGACAUUUAAAAAUUCCUGUAAGGAUGUAUUGCUUACAUUUGACAAGACGUACAUGAGUACAGUGUACUCGCAAUGUCUGUGUAUGUCAUGUAGUAAAUGUCAAUCCCAGCUACAUGAUAGAUUGCUCUUAUAGUCAUGUGUAACAUAUACGUUAAAAACAAAGGAUACACUCUCCUUUAGGAAACUUUCCUUACACAGAAAAUUCAAUUAAAAUCUUCAUUUUGCUUGGCGCAGGAGUUUUUGUACACAGAAACGCUCACAUCUCCGGAAAAUAUGCUGAUAUUCGUGUUGUUUUUGUUCCUCCACUCAGUCGUCCCCCUAUUUGUCAUGUGAAGCACACACCAGCUUUUCUGCAUGUUUACCAAUGACGAAUGGAGGUCUGCGCUCUUCAGGGGCAGAGAGAGGAAUCCGGUGCACUCGGGCUGAGGGCCUACAGGGUCCAGCAGCUUUAAGCUCGGGGGCCACCGGCAAAGGAGAGCUGUGAUAAGUCUGGGCUGAAGAAUGCAUACGUUCACAUGGGACGAGCCAGAGCGAGAGCUUUGGCUGCAUUGUUUUCUCUGGCCUGCUGUUGCAUAACAACACACAUUCCCAGCGCACACUUCCUGAAAUGGAUUUAGGCAUCGAAGACAUUUCUAGUCUCAAGUCUUGGUGGGAAGAAGACAUUUCCCAUCGUGUAGUGCACCAGAAAGGUUGAGAAAUGGAAAUGGGUUUUGGUAAAAUCAUUACACAAAAUAGUAAUGACGGAAGAACAGUAAUAAUUGACCUCAUAAUACUUUACAGUAGUUAUAGUAGCUACAAAUCCUUUGAAUAUCAGAGCUUUAAAAUGAAUGCGUGACUUUGUUGGUUAUGAAACUAGGUGUUUCAAAUGGAUACAGCUGUCUUUUAAAGUUCAAAAGAAACUUUCCCAUACUACAGUCGGCAAUAAAUGCCAUUAGGAGUGAAUAAUGAAGAUGAAAUAGCAACAUUUUCACAUAGUAUGUAUGUGGUUUCAAAUGUGGUUUCACGAAUUCUCCAUCUUAUUAGUUUUUCUCCUGGCUGCCUGCUUGCUUGUCAAUUAACUCUUCUGUUAUUCCGGAUCCUGUCAUCAACAAGAGAUCAUCUCUUAUUCUCUUCACCUGGUCCUCCUGCCCUUCCCACCUGCAGCCCAUUCCCUCAUUAGUCCCUCACUAUUUAGGUCCCCACACUUGCACUUGCCCUCUGCCAGAUUGUCUGGUGUAAUACUGCCAAGCAUUCCAGCGUAUCGUGAGGUGGUUCCUGAUCUGCCUGUCCCGACCCAGUUUGUCUGAAUACUCGACCAAGGAUUUUUGCCUGCCCCCUUCUUGGAUUUUUUGCUUUUAUACAAGUAAAGAACUUUGAUUGGAUUUCUGUUUGCGAGUUGUGCUUUUGGGUUCAAGUUACACAUAUAAAUCACUCCCAAAAUCUGAUUUUUUUAAACUUUAACACCACCGUGAGUUUGCUUUUCAAACUUGUGGAACAAAUACUAUAGAUGGGGUGUUUAGCUGUGAUGAAGCUGAGUAUCAAAUUAAAAGCUUUUACCAUUCAGUUAUUUCAUAACUAUGAUCUGCAAAGGAUAAAAUAAUGUAUACUGACACCAUAUAGCUACGUACUUUUGCAAUCCCACUUACUCUGUAUCCUUGUACAGUUUUAAGCAGUAAGGCACAGUUGGUUGCUGGUCCUCUUAUUUGUGCCAAUUUCCUUCAAAGAGUUUCUUCCACAAGUUGUACAACCUUUUAAUCAUUUGUUUAUGCGCUUGUGAGAGGUAGAACAAAUAUCAAAGUAGGACUUCAGCAAUUUCAUAGUGUGGCUGUUGUCAGAAAACCUACUCAACAAGGGGUCUCUGUUAUUUGCACGCAAGAUCCAUGUGGGCAGCUUCAUGAAUCCAACCUAAACUUUUCUCUGGAGAUAAAGGUUUCCUCUGCGCCUCCCUCUUUCACUGAUUGUAUACAUUUUGUAUAUUUUCUUAUUUAUUAUAUUAAAAUAGAUUAGUUUAACAUUAUGUCUGGGCAAAUUAUCUGUAUCCAUGCCACAGUAACAUCAGUUAAGAAUAUUUGCCCCAUAAUGAUGAAUAUUGCUGGUGGGAAAAGGGUUCUCAGCAGCAGUUCUAAUUCACAUCUGUCUUGUCUGCCACAAAUGAGACAGCAGCAUCAUUUGUGAGAUAAAUCACUGGAAAUGAUAUUUAUCUUAAAUGAGGUGUACAAACACUCAAGGACAGAAGCAUAUAAAAACCGCCUACAUGUUUCCCUUGCACUUGUCCUCAGCUCCAUUUAUUUGGUAACUCAUGAGAAUAAUUGCUCCAUUUCUUUUAAUGAUGUUCAGUUUGUUUUAGAGCAUUGCUGUGAUCACCUUCAUACUUGGCAUUGAAAACCAUCAGCCUUUAAACAACCAGUAUGUCCUUGGACAGCUUUUCUUCCAAAUUGAUCCGUGGUGCAGGGAUUGUACACAAGAGUCUGUUUUGAAUCUGCUCCCACUCAGGCCCUAAACGGCUGUUUGUGCAAUCACCAGAUUUCUUCCCACAAUUAUAACUUUAAAGUUAAAUUUUACCUCCAACUGACUUCACCAGCUGCAUUCAUUUGAAAAAUACCAAAAAGUGGCCAACGGACGUCGGGAUUAAUGCACGGCAUCUUCUACAUGACAAAAAAACAUUGAUUCAGACCACAAAGAACAAAAGAACUACAACCCACAGUGCCGCCGCUUCACUCCUCCCAGAUGCAGCUCUGGCAGCAGAGCGCAGAGGAACCCGUGGUGCCUCUGGCCACCACGCCGUUCAACUCAUUUUCUUCUAGCAUGAAAUCGUAGUGGAAUUAGCAGCAAACAAUGACACAGGGAGCCUAUUUGCUAAUUGCUGUUUUUCUAAUGUGCUCAUAGUCCAGUCAACACAAAUCACAGAGGAAGAUUGUGCCGUGCUAAGAUGGGAAUGCUCUGGAUAGCGGGAAAGUGAAAACGACAAUAUUGAAAUGUGUCAUCUCAAGAGAGUUGUAUCAUUUGGUUUAUAGGUUUAAAAAAAUGCAUGAUGUGUACAAACACUUUCUGUUUGAACUUCUCGACACAUGUUUUUUUUUUUGACAUCUCUAUUGAACAUUAAGCCAUGUUUGGUAGAGAGGUCCCCAAGCAGGCAGACAGGGGGCAGGUGGGGUGUUAGUUGCUACGCACGGCAAAAAGUGUCAAGAGGAACAAGCGCAUGUGAUGGGGUAAUUUGGGUCAUUUUUCAAAUUAAAAUAUUUUUCUGAAAGAAAAGUCAAAUGACCUCAGUGGCCUGCAGACACGCUGGCCCGGUGGUUGGGGACCCCUGAUCAAACCCUAUGCAAGGCAUAUAUAGAUAUUAUACAAAUAAUUGUCAGAGGGUGUAGGCAAUAUUUCCUUCCUUCCAAAAUAAUCACGUGUUUGGAAGAAGCAGGGUUCAGCUCGGACCCCCAACUCUACUUCUGAAGGGCUAUGCGAACAAAACAAGGUAUUUUCUAUUUGCUGGGAUUAAAGACAUUAGAAUUAAAGCAGUGGAACAUCUUUUUGCUCAGUUUAUUCCACCAGCCGUCGACAUGGCUGCGGGGUGUUCUUUCCUAAUCAAGAUGUACUAUUCUCGGCACCCUGCUUCUUUUUGCCAGCGAGUUGAUUAGCUGAUCUCCAACUGCAGGGUUACGUCCAGUUUUGCGGUACUUUGACACGGAAACACCAGUUGUCUAACACAGGGGACCUUCUUUGUGCUUCCAGCUGAUAAACGCUUAACUCAGAGGUGCUGCUAUUGUUUCAUUAUUGGGCCACAUGAGCAGAAUAUUGUGGCAGAGUGGCUCCGCUCACUUCAAUCUCCAUGUUUUGGGGUGUUCUAAAUCAGCUGAAUUUCCAUCUAGGCUCCAACCCUCCCACUGUGUGUUACCAAGCUGUGACUAAUUAUCCUUUCAGGUUGAUCACAGGGUGGGGCUGCUGAGGCUACAUGGAGGAACAGCCCAUCCACUUCAGGUGUGUCUCCCUACCUCUUAUAUUAAGGCAUCGGUAGCUGAUGCGCUCUGUGUUUGCUAUAGUCAGCCACUUGUCUGGCUGGAGGUUGCGGCCCGAGGGAGCGUGGCGUCCGCUUUGUGCGCGUGGCGUCCAAUGUGCUGCACGGGAGCAUCUUUUGUGUCUCCCCCUUCCGCGUCAUCGACGGCGCCUGCCUGUCUGCCGACUGAGGUUGGAGGUGGAAGCGGGGCCUUCAAGCCGGUACAGAUCCCCUUAGGCGUAGCAUCCAAUUCCUACGCUAAAGCGGCGUCGUCGUGGUGCACCACCCUGGCGCAGGAGCACUGAAGCUUCUACGUCCCGCCAGUGGCUCACCUGCUGAAGCGGGCCUCUAAACAGUGCGGGACCCCGCCACUGCUGUUCUGUCUAGACUGUUUUUCAGUUUUGUGAUUUAAUAAUUUUCUUUUUGUGUGUGUGGGCAUCCUGGCCGGUAUUACAUUGCUAAUGGUUGUUAUUUCUUGUUUUGAUGUACAGGAGCUGUUGGUGCCACGGGUAGGAGUGACUGGCUGAUCCCGGUGGUGGUUCCCUUCAUUUUUUUCUUUGCAGUGCACCUCUGUCAAUAGUUUGUGGUUUGUUUUGUUUUUCACGUGUGUUGGAACAUUAGGCCCCUUCCCCUCAGCAAGUCAACUCCGCCAGUUUUUGUUCUGUUAUUUGUUUAUGGAAUCACGUCCAGUGCCUGUGUCCUGUCAUUGACCUCAGACUGGUGGUCCCUAUUUAAUUCCUGGGGUGAAAUUUCCUAGGUGGCGGCGUUGGCUUUUAAUAGUAAAAUUUCAGAUCUUCCCCCUCAGCAUUGCCACAAUAUAAUUAGAAAUCUGAUUGCAAAUUAAGACAUGCAAUGCCACCUUUGCCCGAAAACCUACCCACGCACUACAAUAAUAAUGGAGCUGGAAGUUUGUUCUUUUGUCCACCUGUUUGUGCGAUGUGAAGGCACAGUCCCCCUCAAUAAAAAAAAAAAUGCUUUACCUUCUACAGUCUAUCACUAAAUCCUCAAAUCUGCCUGUUGAAAAACAAAUAGUGAACGAAAAUCACCAAAAGACCAUUUGCCUCCUUUGUUCUCUUCCCACGUUGGUUGGGAAAUAAAAUCAAUUGGCUGAAUUAGAACUGUGCGUGUGCAUUUGGGUCCACCGACUACACCACCACCACCUAACACAAUUUGUGCACACUGCAUUGUUAAAUAUGUUAAGGCAUUAUUGUGAGUGAUGCGUAUCCUGGAAUAUAUAUUGUAUAGAGAUUAUAAAGUUGUCCCUCCUAUUCAUACAGAUAAACCAAAUAAAAGUUAUAUCUCUUACCCUCUGCCCGUAUUCAGUCACUUUUCCUUUGGUUUUCUCUUUAUUCUCUUUCCCUUAACACCGUAUCAUUGAAUCAACUGGAUGACUCUGAUGCUUGCAACCAGAGGAACGGCUGACUGAGUUUACGGAGUGGCAAGAAGGGUUUAAAGGUUAAACAAAUAUGGGACAGUAAUUCACCUCUACUACUGGGUCCAUAUAAUGGAGUUGUCUGCUAUGAAAGAAUAAGAAAUAAGCCAUUUCACAGCAAGCCAAGACCAAAGUCUAAAAGCCGGGAAUAUAACUUUGGUGGAAAUUAGUGGAUAACGUCCUUGAGAGAAAUUAAACAUAUCGUCAACUUUCUUGUAUUUAUUACAAACUAACAUAUAGGAAAAUCACGAAGGGCACAAACAUCAUUGAACACAAGCCGUAAGUACAGACAAGAAUUUAUGACAAUUCUGCUGAAAAGGGACCGUGCACACUCACUAUCGCCUCUUGAGUUACUAGUGGUGUUACAAGACCUGAUGGGUGGGUGCUAGCUGGUUAGCAUUGUUAUUUCAGUAGACAUCUAAGCAAGAAAGAACACUGACGUCUUACAGCUCUGCUGAUGUUAGCUCCUUUUACAACAACAUAUUUGAUCCAGGAGAUACAUUCAAACUUCAGUCCGGCGUCCAUUUUAAUCAUGUUGAACUUGACUACUAACUAGCCCAUCAGUUUUGAUUAUUAAGCAAAAAUGUAUCCAAAAUGGUACAGAGGUAUCUGUAGAGUGCAAUGCUGAAACUGAUUGUUUUGUUCAGUCUUUUUUUCCUUAUCCUUCAGCACAAGAUCUAUUAGGUUUUGAUAGAUGGUACCUUUUUAAGAUUUCCGGAUUAAUUGAUGAUCAAAUCUCCCAAGGGCUUUGCAGGACACGUUCUGAGCAGGUAAUCACUUCUUUUCAGACAGCCCAAGGUACACCCAGGCGAUAAGGAUGGGUUCCAGCUUUUAAACUUCAAUAUAAGGCAAAAUGAAGACAUUCACGCUGUCAAGCUGCUCCAUUACAAUCCUUCACUCUGCCGACCUUAACCCGCUCUUAAUUAUCACUCCGGUUCUCUUCUGUGGACCACACAAGGAUCCUUGGGUUGUUCUAGAAAACAGUGUUUUGCUACGGUGAGUGCUCACGCAGUCCAUGGAGGGCUCAUCAAUCCAUGUUGAAACAAGACUUGGAGUCAAUCCAGGUCCUGCAAAGUGUAAUUGUGAAUGACGCGAGGACACACUCACUCUAAAAGACACCAGAUAUUAGUCACGUUUACUACACUUGUGUUUAUGAUUCCAUUUCCCUGGCCUAAAGCAGACAACAUGCCCCGUUUGACGAGAAAAUAUUAGUAAUUCCACUUUGAUGACGUUGAAAGCGUUUCAGUUAUCUGAAAUCAAUGAAUAAUGGGUAAAAGUUUUAUUAUAAGCUGUUUGAAUUCUUCAAAUAGUAAUUAUUAUCUUCAGUUCUUUAUCUCCUUCAUCAUUGAACACCCUGGGCCUUCCUUCAAGAAAGGGGAGAAGAUAUAUCUGCAGCAUCAUACCUUCCGGCGGCAACAAGAAGUUUUCUUGGGUCAACCUUUGUUCCAACUCACAAAAUUAGGUUUCCCUUUUUGUCUAAUCCAUUAGCAUGUCAGUGAACUUUCAACGUAUGAACCGUUUCUGGCAACUUGACUGGGGAGGAAAUACUUUCUCACAUAAUGGAUUGUAUCUUCAGAAGUGGCCUGAACAAAUGGAUGACAGGGACAUUGUACAGAUCAACUUGUGUCGUUGUGCACAUUGAGAUCGCUGUUAGGGUAAAACCCACGCAGCUCAUUAUUUCCAGUCAGCCCCACCCGGCUACCAGUAAGGGUCACAGUGCCGGCCCAUGCUGCCAUAGCAGACAUUUGCCUUUUUUUAAUUUGCCUCUGCACAUGUGCUGACAAAACUGAGAUCCCAAAUAGAACAUGUUCUGACGUGUAUGCAUCUGGACCUCGAUCAAAAUACGCAUCAUCAUGGGACAUUUACUAGGUAUUGUUGUCCUGCAGUAAAACAUAUGAUAACUUACUAAAACCUUUAACAAAUCAUGGAUCUGCAUCAACCCAGCCCUUCACCUGAUCUGUCUUUGGCCCAUAGCCCUAUUUUCCACAACACUCCAUUAAAAUCUGUUGAGUAGUGUAUAUAACUAAACUAAAACAAACAGGGAAAACCUCUCUGUAUAGGUAAUUACGCAAAACAACCAACACAAGAGGCAUAAUUCUUUUCACAAGCUCUCAUCACAGUAACUCUUUACCUAACCACAUUUGUAACAUUAUUAACCAAAUCCUUGCACUGUUUUCCCUUUUCCUUGUCUUUAUUUCUCCACUACUCUUGCUUCUUUUUUUUCACAUUGGAGACGAUUAAAGUGAGGCAGGUCUUCAUCUAACAAAUAACGUCCCAACUCAAAAGAAAGAACACAUGGCAUUCUAAUCACUACAAGGGCGUCCUCACGGUUUCACCAGUUCUGCGAUCCAGACCUAAUGUACCUGACAGAGAAGGCAUACCAGACCUGAAAUUACAGGGAUUAAUGUUACCAAGACUAAACACUUCAAAUGGGUUCUCUAAUGUGAGUGCCAUGCAAGGGAGCAGGCAGAAAAUCCACUUACGGCAUCAUUGCUUUGGCAUUAUUCACUCUUGAAAGCGCAGCACGUUUCAGCCUCGUCCAUGAAUGGCUGCUCCUUGCCAUGCAAACUUUAAUUUGGAGAGUUUAGCUACACAAUAAUUGUCAGAAUAGGGGGCACUUCGAGAGGAGGUCCAAAGGAUGAGUCUUUCCUAAGAGAAAGUGUGAACUGGUUUCAAUGAUCUGCCUGCAGUGCUUCUUCGUUAUACCUGCAAUCUUAACGCUUUUCGGUGAAAUAUAUGUGUCAUCCACGUGAAUAGUUUUUUUUUUUUGCAGCAGUAGACUAAUGAAUACAGUAAAACAGAAUACAUACAUAUUGUGGUCUGUUUGUGACUCUGGGAGUAAGUAGUACACAUUGUGGUGAUUGGCCAUUAUCAGCAUUGUGAUGCGUAUGAACAGUAUGUUACGGAAAACUUAGGAUUUAGAUGAAAACCAGUUUUAUGCGAUUCCUUUCAAAUUCCAUUUUACUAUUGUGUUAUUUACAGAGUAUUUGAGAAGCUGUUCCUGUUAAAUAACAACAUUUAUCAACCCUCAGGUUAAUGUAACACUGGUCAUAAACUAAAGCUUACAUGAUAAGAUAAUUAUUGUGAAAAUUGGAUCAUCCCCAUAUUAGAUUUACAGAGUAUUCGUUCUGAAAUUAACAUGAGUAUUUAGAUUGAACAGUCUGGACACAACUCCAGACCUGGUACCCUGGAGAGGAGGUGUGGAAAGUUUAGAAUGAACACGGAGGUAAACGCAUGAUUCAAUCACUUUCAUCCAGGUGGAAAUAGAGGCUGUUGAUCAGUGUUAGAGGAACAAAGGUCAGGAUGGAAGGCAGCUGUUUACAUCCAUCUGGUGUGUUGGAGUAGGUCAGGGUACCAUCUCUAAUGAAGAAUAGGUGUCGGUCUAACCCAUCUCCCACACAAGUCUGUGCUGAUCCGAAUGGUUCCACUUCUCUCCUCUGUCCUGUCAUUCGGUUUACAUCCCCCCCCCCCUCCGUGUUUACACUCCAGCAUCUUCCUGUUCAGCCUCCUUUAGUGUCCAUGUUACCAUUCCGGAAGGCUUGUUUCUUUUGAA